AGCUUUAUAUUCAAUUAUGAUAUUAGAUUGCAAAUUUAAUGGUGUUAAAAACUAAGGCUU
rnacentral:tRNA from 1 species